AAUGGGCGAAAGCCUGACGGAGCAACGCCGCGUGAGGGACGAAGGCCUCUGGGCUGUAAACCUCUUUUCUCAGGGAAGAAGAUAUGACGGUACUUGAGGAAUAAGCCACGGCUAAUUCCGUGCCAGCAGCCGCGGUAAUACGGGAGUGGCAAGCGUUAUCCGGAAUUAUUGGGCGUAAAGCGUCCGCAGGCGGCCUUUCAAGUCUGCUGUUAAAGCGUGGAGCUUAACUCCAUUAUGGCAGUGGAAACUGAUAGGCUUGAGUAUGGUAGGGGCAGAGGGAAUUCCCGGUGUAGCGGUGAAAUGCGUAGAUAUCGGGAAGAACACCAGUGGCGAAGGCGCUCUGCUGGGCCAUUACUGACGCUCAUGGACGAAAGCCAGGGGAGCGAAAGGGAUU
rnacentral:rRNA from 1 species